UACGGAGGGUGCAAGCGUUAUCCGGAUUCACUGGGUUUAAAGGGAGCGUAGGUGGGAUGGUAAGUCAGUGGUGAAAUCUUCGAGCUUAACUCGGAAACUGCCGUUGAUACUAUCAUUCUUGAAUAUUGUGGAGGUUAGCGGAAUAUGUCAUGUAGCGGUGAAAUGCUUAGAUAUGACAUAGAACACCGAUAGCGAAGGCAGCUUGCUACACAAUUAUUGACACUGAGGCUCGAAAGCGUGGGGAUCAAACAGG
rnacentral:rRNA from 1 species